CUUAGGCUUUUGAUAUUAUAAUACUCGUUUCCUGUGCGAUCGUCUGAAAAUAAUUUCUAGGAACUGGAACAUCUCUGCAUGAUGCUGAGUUAACAACCACUUCCGCGCAAUGUCAGGCGCAAUCAGGUUAAAACGUAUCAAGCGGAUCUGCCGACAGACUGUG